rnacentral:rRNA from 1 species
GUCCACGCCCUAAACUAUGGCAACUAGUUGUUGGAGGAUGAACUCCUUUAGUAACGCAGCUAACGCGUGAAGUUGCCCGCCUGGGGAGUACGGUCGCAAGAUUAAAACUCAAAGGAAUUGACGGGGGCCCGCACAAGCGGUGGAUGAUGUGGUUCAAUUCGAUGCAACGCGAAAAACCUUACCUACCCUUGACAUGUGAGGAACCUCGAUGAAAGUCGAGGGUGCCCGAAAGGGAGCCUCAACACAGGUGCUGCAUGGCUGUCGU